AGGAUCUUGGAGAAAGUGAAAAUAGAUCUGAAAACACAUCUGCCUUCAGAUAGAGACCAAGUAGCUGAAGCUUGCUGGAUUCAGAGGCAGGAGAAAUUGGCCACCAUCCUCACCAGAGAGUCCCUAAGGGGCAGAACCCAAACCUUUGGUGAAGACCAGAGGGAUUUGGGACUAAGAUAUAACCCCUGGAACACCUCAGAUUGGAUGGUUGGAAGUUACUUCAACCUUCAGUUACUUUGUAUUUUGCUGCAAUUUCAUUUUUUCAACCCCCAUAUGAAUACUACAAUGCACAGGAGUAAUUUCCUCCACUCUUCCCCACCCAGGAGAAGGCUGUAUGUAGAAGCUGCUCAGUGCUGAUCUGCUCCUUAUCAGUUAUUAACAUAUACAUGUCUUUGCAAUGAGACAACAAAGGCAACGAGGCAGAAGAAAAAAAAAGUUUAAGUGGUGGUCUGAGGUUUUGCUCACAGUAAGAGAUGAACCAGAGCUCUCUUGUUAUUGAAAUUACUGCUAAAACUCUGUGCUUGGGCCAGGAAAGUCAAAGUCUAGAUGUUCACUUACAGAAAUCAACAUCAGUGCAGGGGAAGCUUGAAACACAUUUUCCUAAAAAAUUCUAAAGAGUAAGAUAGCUCUGGUGCUAUACAUAAGCACAGCUUCUCUGACAUGAACUCCUUCAGCCCAGCUGCAGGUUGGCCACCCUGGACAACUGCAUGGUAACAGAGGUGGAAACUUAGACAUGAGACUGGAGGGAGAAGAAAGCAGAAAGUGGUAACAGCUCUGCUGGGCUGCUGUUUCAUCAGGUACCUGGUGUGCUCUGCAGGGCUGAUGCAGGAAAGGGCUGAAGGUGUAAAGGGACAGUCUGAGCGCAUGCACGCAUGUUUGUGUUUUUGUGUUUGUGUGUGUCUAUUCAAUGGUCCUGAGAACAAAUAUAAUUCUGGGGCAUGAAACAGAAGGAUGAAUAUCAAGCGAGAACAUCCAGCUGCAGGUCCUUUCCCCUUCUUUUUCCAGCUUUUGGAUGAACUGCAAAGCCGACGGGGACUGUUAACUGCCUGGGCCUGUCCAUUUGUCUCUCUCUCUUUACUUCUCUGUCCCUAACUCCCCCUCCCUCUCCCUCCUGCAGCUCCGGAGGGUGGAGGUGCGAUUCGCUAUGCCCGUUUUUUAUUUCCAGCACGCUUGACAGGCUGGGCGAGGAAGGCGUUAAUGUUUUCUGACAGGCCCCCUCUAAUUGUUGGAGCUUUUCUUCUCUGCCUUUUCUGUGAAAUUCUGACUUAGGCGAGCAGCAUAACAAAAUGCUCUGGCAUUGAAAUGUGCGCUUGCACUACACUGGGCUCGGGGAAACAGCAUUAUUCAUGAAGAUUUUCAGCUGUUUUUGUCUUUUAACUAACCUUUGAGUUUGAUCAGAGGCUAGCCGGGCUCCCUUUCUCAAAAGGCAGUCUUGGCAACCCGACAAUGGAGCCAAACUGUUUUCCCUGUUAAAGAGAUAACUAUGCCGUUGAGUUGGUACAUGGGGGAAAUUAAUCUUCAGGCGCAUACAAAUGAUAGCUUUACCUCGCUCUGCAAUCGCCUGCAUGGGAUUAUUGAUAGGACGGGGGUAAGGAGCAGGAGAAAUUCAGGCUGGGGUAAGGAACUUUAAAAAAAAAAAAAAUUUGCAACCCCAAGCCCAUCAUCCCUUUUGAUUGUAUAAAGCCUGCGAUUGAUUCUUCACCACUUGCCUUUUGCAGCAGGAAUUAGCCCCGCAUUGUGCGGCCUGACACGCUAAGAGCCCGCUCGCAUGGGAGCUGAAGUCGCUGGGACAAACCGGGGUGGAGGGGAGAGGAGAGGCAAGCGGGGGUGAGCUGGGGGCGCUUCUCCCCUCUCCCCUUUCCAAGAGGCGAGGAGAGGCGCAGAGUCGUCCCGCACUCCAAGCCGAGCUAAUCCCUGAAUGCACUGAGUAAUACGCGCUGCAUUAUGGUGGAGCGCAGG